CUGUCUGGGUAACGGGGUCUGCAGCGGAGCCGCGAUGGAUGUGGAGGAGGUGAAAGCGUUCAGAGACCGCUGUUCUCAGUGUGCUGCUGUCUCCUGGGGCCUUACCAAAGAAGGCAAAUAUUACUGUACUUCCUGACACAGAUCGAUCUGAGGAAGUGGUGAGCGCUGCAGAUAUCCCCAACACCAAGAUCAACUCCAUCAACAGGGGGCUGAGACAGAGAAGCAAGCAUGGUGAGCACAGAUGCCCCACGGUGGCGAGGCUCCCUCACACUUCCUUUCAUGAUGUGAG
rnacentral:lncRNA from 1 species